rnacentral:rRNA from 1 species
GACGAACGCUGGCGGCGUGCUUAACACAUGCAAGUCGAACGAGAAUCUACUGAAAGAGUUUUCGGACAAUGGAAGUAGAGGAAAGUGGCGGACGGGUGAGUAACGCGUGAGGAACCUGCCUUGAAGAGGGGGACAACAGUUGGAAACGACUGCUAAUACCGCAUGAAGCAUAGGGGUCGCAUGAUUCUUAUGCCAAAGAUUUAUCGCUUCAAGAUGGCCUCGCGUCUGAUUAGCUGGUUGGCGGGGUAACGGCCCACCAAGGCGACGAUCAGUAGCCGGACUGAGAGGUUGAACGGCCACAUUGGGACUGGGAUACGGCCCAGACUCCUACGGGAGGCAGCAGUGGGGAAUAUUGGGCAAUGGGCGCAAGCCUGACCCAGCAACGCCGCGUGAAGGAAGAAGGCUUUCGGGUUGUAAACUUCUUUUAAGAGGGAAGAGCAGAAGACGGUACCUCUAGAAUAAGCCACGGCUAACUACGUG